rnacentral:misc_RNA from 1 species
AGCUAUCAUUUUCCUAAGACAUUCGGGGGCCAACCAAAGCCGAUAUCCGAGGCGAACUCGCUAGUUGCUUCGCUGCACGGCGGGAGAGCUUAUGUGAUCGGCAACCGGUAUCCUCCAGCUGAGGGGCGUAUGGUGCAGUGUGGGCCGGCGUUCAGCGUCGCGAAUCCCCAUGUCUGCCCCGGACCGUUCCUUGGGAAACUCAGGGGGGGCAAUUGGAUGGCUCGUGGAACCUCUCGGUGACCUCGGUCCCGGGGGCUUUCCGGGCUGGGCGUCGGGCUCCGGCUCGGCCUCCAACCUUGUAAAUAUCCUGAUCACCCCUUCGGGGGUGGGGUGUGACUAGGCGUGAACGCUCCUCGAGGGUGU